rnacentral:rRNA from 1 species
AGUGAACGCUGGCGGUAGGCCUAACACAUGCAAGUCGAACGGCAGCACAGUAAGAGCUUGCUCUUACGGGUGGCGAGUGGCGGACGGGUGAGGAAUACAUCGGAAUCUACUUUUUCGUGGGGGAUAACGUAGGGAAACGUACGCGAAUACCGCAUACGACCUCCGGGUGAAAGCAGGGGAUCUUCGGACCUUGCGCGAGUGAAUGAGCCGAUGUCGGAUGAGCUAGUUUGCGGGGUAAAGGGCCACCAAGGCGACGAUGCGUAGCUGGUAUGAGAGGAAGAUCCGCCACCUUGGCACUGAGACACGGUCCACACUCCUGCGGGGGGCCGCAGUGGGGACUCUUGGACGAUGGGGCCGAGCCUGAUACUGCCAUACCGCGUGGGUGCAGAAGCACUUCGGGUUGUAAAGUCCUUUUGUUGGGAAAGAAAAGCAGCAGGUUAAUCCCCCGCUGUUCUGACGGUACCCAAAGAAUAAGCACCGGCUAACUUCGUG